GGUCAGCUGACACAUCCCUGCCAAUCUCUGGCAGACCCUCCCUUCCCAGACCCUCCCACCUCCUGGACAGCAUCCAUGUUGAAGCUGCCUUCAACAUGGAUGCUGUCCAGGAAGUAGGAGGGUCUGGGAGGGAGGGUCUGCCGGAGAUUGGCAGGGAUGUGUCAGCUG